rnacentral:rRNA from 1 species
UGCAAGUCGACGGCAGCACGGGAGCUUGCUCCUGGUGGCGAGUGGCGAACGGGUGAGUAAUGCGUCGGAACGUGCCGAGUAGUGGGGGAUAACUAUCCGAAAGGAUAGCUAAUACCGCAUACGCUCUGAGGAGGAAAGCAGGGGAUCUUAGGACCUUGCGCUAUUUGAGCGGCCGACGUCUGAUUAGCUAGUUGGUGAGGUAAAGGCUCACCAAGGCAUCGAUCAGUAGCGGGUCUGAGAGGAUGAUCCGCCACACUGGGACUGAGACACGGCCCAGACUCCUACGGGAGGCAGCAGUGGGGAAUUUUGGACAAUGGGCGCAAGCCUGAUCCAGCCAUGCCGCGUGUCUGAAGAAGGCCUUCGGGUUGUAAAGGACUUUUGUCAGGGAGGAAAUCCCUAGCGCUAAUAUCGCUGGGGGAUGACAGUACCUGAAGAAUAAGCACCGGCUAACUACGUGCCAGCAGCCGCGGUAAUACGUAGGGUGCAAGCGUUAAUCGGAAUUACUGGGCGUAAAGCGUGCGCAGGCGGUUGUGUAAGUCUGAUGUGAAAGCCCCGGGCUCAACCUGGGAACUGCAUUGGAGACUGCACAGCUAGAGUGCGUCAGAGGGGGGUAGAAUUCCGCGUGUAGCAGUGAAAUGCGUAGAGAUGCGGAGGAAUACCGAUGGCGAAGGCAGCCCCCUGGGAUGACACUGACGCUCAUGCACGAAAGCGUGGGGGAGCAAACAGGAUUAGAUACCCUGGUAGUCCACGCCCUAAACGAUGUCAACUAGCUGUUGGGGGUUUGAAUCCUUGGUAGCGUAGCUAACGCGAGAAGUUGACCGCCUGGGGAGUACGGCCGCAAGGUUAAAACUCAAAGGAAUUGACGGGGACCCGCACAAGCGGUGGAUGAUGUGGAUUAAUUCGAUGCAACGCGAAAAACCUUACCUGGUCUUGACAUGUACAGAACUUUCCAGAGAUGGAUUGGUGCCCGAAAGGGAGCUGUAACACAGGUGCUGCAUGGCUGUCGUCAGCUCGUGUCGUGAGAUGUUGGGUUAAGUCCCGCAACGAGCGCAACCCUUGCCAUUAGUUGCUACCAUUUAGUUGAGCACUCUAAUGGGACUGCCGGUGACAAACCGGAGGAAGGUGGGGAUGACGUCAAGUCCUCAUGGCCCUUAUGACCAGGGCUUCACACGUCAUACAAUGGUCGGUACAGAGGGUAGCCAAGCCGCGAGGUGGAGCCAAUCUCAUAAAACCGAUCGUAGUCCGGAUCGCACUCUGCAACUCGAGUGCGUGAAGUCGGAAUCGCUAGUAAUCGCAGAUCAGCAUGCUGCGGUGAAUACGUUCCCGGGUCUUGUACACACCGCCCGUCACACCAUGGGAGUGAGUUUCACCAGAAGUGGGUAGGCUAACCGUAAGGAGGCCGCU